rnacentral:rRNA from 1 species
GACGAACGCUGGCGGCGUGCUUAACACAUGCAAGUCGAACGGAAAGGCCCUGCUUUUGUGGGGUGCUCGAGUGGCGAACGGGUGAGUAACACGUGAGUAACCUGCCCUUGACUUUGGGAUAACUUCAGGAAACUGGGGCUAAUACCGGAUAGGAGCUCCUGCUGCAUGGUGGGGGUUGGAAAGUUUCGGCGGUUGGGGAUGGACUCGCGGCUUAUCAGCUUGUUGGUGGGGUAGUGGCUUACCAAGGCUUUGACGGGUAGCCGGCCUGAGAGGGUGACCGGCCACAUUGGGACUGAGAUACGGCCCAGACUCCUACGGGAGGCAGCAGUGGGGAAGAGUGCACAAUGGGCGGAAGCCUGAUGCAGCAACGCCGCGUGGGGGAUGACGGCCUUCGGGUUGGAAACCGCUUUCGCCUGUGACGAAGCGUGAGUGACGGUAAUGGGUAAAGAAGCACCGGCUAACUACGUG